ensembl:lncRNA C18h18orf32 similar to human chromosome 18 open reading frame 32
CCGGCCUCCCGGAAGUGCGGACAUUGCCCUGGGCGUCUUGGUGGUGGCGAGUGACUCUCGCAGCGGUUGUCAGCGGCUUGACGUCCCCAGACGCUGUGCGGUGCGCCGGUAUACCCCAGGAAUUAGGUAGCCUGCAUACCUUGCAUUUCUGCACUGAUCCCCGUCUGUGGACCUCGGUGCCCCCUCCUUGCUUCCCUCGUGGUUUUCCUCUCUUUGGACCCGCACGUUUCAGAAAUCCAGCGUGGGACGAUGGUGUGCAUUCCUUGUAUCGUCAUUCCAGUGCUGCUCUGGAUCUUCAAAAAGUUCCUGGAGCCAUACAUAUACCCCGUGGUCAGUCGCAUAUGGCCGAGAAAAGCUGUACAGCAAUUGGACAAUAAGAAUACGGGCAAGGUAGACUGCAAGGGUGCAGAUACAAAUGGAUUCUCCACAAAAGGACCAACAGAGGUCUCCGAUAAAAAGAAAGACUAGUGUGGUUCUCUUGAAGGCCCUGGGCUGUUUCCAAAUGGACCUGAUAACAUGAAGCACCUUCUCUGUCUCUGACCUUUUUUCUCUGAGACCAGGAUUCUAGAUAAAUAGUUUAGCUUCUGCCUGAUACUAAUCAGGGAGUACAGGUAUUUAUAUUUAAAAUUCCAGUAGUUAUAUUUAAUGAGCAUACCUACGUUCCCUUUUCAUUAAAGUAGCUUUCAUUUCUAUUAUUCCGUUUUACUGAUAGGAACAAAUAGGAGGUCUGUGUGAGCAGACACUCAGAGCCCAGUCCUUAGGCCUUUGCCUUCUUUCUCAUGAGUUUGCCGUUUUCACUUCCCGUGGGUUCUUGUACCUUGAGUGGGAGGAGUCUUAGCGUGACACAGGGCGGUCCGUGGUGGGAUGCGAUGUGAUUACUGAUCACUACCAAGCGCAGUGGCCAGCAGAUGGCCGAGAAUAGUCACUGCUCCGAGGAAGCUGGGAAAGGUCUAACAUCAACAUCAUCGUCAGUCACACAACUUCUAAUUCUCUGUACUUCUAGUCCUGACAAUGUAUUAAACACCCAUUUAACUUGUGGUUCUUUCUUUUUGUCUCUUCAUAUUUGAAGGGUUCGUUGUUGCUGUUGUUGUUGUUGCUGUUGGUUUUUAGUUUCUUUGGUUUUUUUCUUUUUUUCUUUGGUUUUGUUUGUUUGUUUGUUUGUUUGUUUUGAGACAAGGUUUCUAUGUGGAGCCCUAGCUGUCCGAGUUUGUUCUGUAGACCAGGUUGGCCUUGAACUCACAAAGAUCUUCCUGCCUAUGCCUUCCUGCUGCUGGGAUUAAAGGCACACACCACUGCUGCCCAACAGAAAGGUUAACAAGUAAAAUCUCAGAACCGUGAUGCAUGAAGACAGUGGGUGAGCGGACGUCAGCACCACAGUGAGUGACUUCCACAGCAGCGCCUUGCCUGAUUUUGUCUAAAGCAGCUGGGGGAUCUGAUCUUGGGAAACGUCAAUCCUGUCCCUGAAGCCUGUGACCCCAGCUGAGGCAAGAGGAUUCCAAGUUCACACCUGGUUUCCACUGCAGAACGAGUUUGAAUCUAACUUAGACACAUUUCGUGUCAAAAUUUAAGGAUGCAGAAAGGGUUGGAGAUGUAGCCCAGUGACAAACUGUUUGCUUAACCUGAAGCCCUGGGUCCAGCCCACGCCCUGUGCGUCUGUCAGUGUAGUAGAGGAUGGUCUUGAACUUCUGCUCCUCCUGCCAGUACCUUCUAAGUGAUCCGGUCACAGGUGUGUACUAUCAUACCUGUGCUUCUGCCCCCAUCCCCACACCCCACACCCCACACCCCACACUCCACACCCCACACACUUUUGUUCUUUUGAAAUAGGGUCUCAUCACUUAGCGCUGAUUGGCCUAGAAUUCAUGACACCAGUAGCCUCCCAACUGCUUCCAUUAGAGGCAUGAGCCGCUAUUCCUCGUUUAAAAUAGAUGUUUGUAUCGAAUGCACACAUGAUUGGUUUUAUUACACAGCAGGGUUUUUUUGUUGGUUUCUCAGGGACGGGUGGGAAGAUUGUGUUUUGAAGCAAGGUCUCUACAUAGUUCUGGCCACCCUGGGGCUCAGUUCCAUCAGCUGGCUUCUGACAACAGUGCCAACAGGGCUCAGGACACUUGCUGCUUCUGUUAAAGACCUAAGUUUGGUUCCCAGCACCCACAUGGUGCCUCACAACCCUCAGUAAGUCCAGUUCCAGUGGAUCUGAUGCCCCCUUGAGAGCUCCUUUGGCACCAGAGAUGUGUGUGGUGUGCAUGCAAACAUGUAGGCAAAACACUCCUAUACCUAUAGGUAUAUAAAUCUGAAAAAAGGAAAACCAGCACCAUCUAUCAUAUCAUGUGCCAUCAAUUUAUCUUAUUUAUCAUUGCUUAUGACCACCUGUCAUCUGUCUUUGCAUCAUCUAGAUACUUAGCAAUCAUGUGGUAUCCAGAGUAUACUUGGCAACACUGUGGCUCUGAAUUACAUGGUUUCCACCUAUCAGUGCCCAUUCACUGAACUGAUUACAAAUUCAAUCUAGCUUUUAGUUCUGAAAUAUAAGGAGUUUAGGGGUGUUAGUCCAUGCCUGUAAUCUUAGCACUUGGGAUCUUGUGGCAACAGCAUACAGAGAGUCCAAAGUCAUCCUGGGUUACAGAGUGGAAUCCUGCUGCAAACAAAACUGAAGAAAAGGACUGGAGAGAUGGCUCAGCGGUUAAGAGCACUGACUGCUCUUCCAGAGGCCCUGAGUUCAAUUCCCAGUAACCACAUGGUGGCUCACAACCAUCUGUAAUGGGAUUCAAUCCCUUCUUCUGGUGUGUCUGAAGACAGCGACAGUGUACUCACAUACAUUAAAUAAAUAAAUAAAUAAAUAAAUAAAUAAAUAAAUAAAUAAAUAAAUAAAACAAAACUAAAGAAAA